GGAAUAUGAAGGGAGAAUGAAACAAAACUGCUCCGCUCAGGGAACUUAGAAAUUGAAAAGGCAAGGCACAGGCUGGAAGAAAAUAUUUGAAAAAGAUUUAUGUGACAAAGAACUUCUUUCUGGAUUAUACAAAAUAUUUUUAGAUAUUCUUACAACUCUAAAAUAAGAUAACUCCUUAAAAAUGUGAAUUCUACCAAAGGAGAGAUAAAGAUGACAAAUACAGUCAAAGAUGCUGAAAAUCGCUUAUUUAUUAUUGGGAAGUUACAAGCUACAGCAUAAUGAGAUACCACUACAACCUACUAAACUGACUAAAAUUAAUCAGACUAACCAGGUGUUGGCAAGAAACAGGGACACUGAGACUCUCACACUGCUGGAAGGAAUGUAAAAUGCUAAAAUUUCUUUGGAAACGAGUUCAGUAACUUUUUAAACAGUUGAAAAUAGACCUAUCAUGCAAACCAGCAACCCCACUUCUAGGUAUUUAUCCAAGGAAAAUGACAACAUAUGCCCACACAAAGACUUGUGCACAAAUGACUGUAGCAGCUUUGUGGUAAUUGCUAAAAACUAGAAACUUGUCAAGUGUCCAACAGCUAAGGAAAUUGAGACAAACUACAUAAGUUGCUGAAAAAUCACAGCAAAUAAUGAGCUGAGGAAGAGACUCAAAUCUAUCCGAACUGCUUGACUUUUGAUCCUGAGCUUAUGUGCAUCCAGUGGGCAAGUGAGGGUGCAUGGGUUUGUGAAGACUCCAGCAGUAUGAUUGGGGACACAGGGUCUCACUAUGUUGCCCAGGCUGGUAUCGAACUCCUGGGCUCAAGUGAUCCUCCUGCCUCAGCCUCCCAAAAUGCUGGGAUUACAGGCAUGAACCACUCUACCCAGCCCCUCCUUGCUUAUUCAUAAUGAAACAAUGCUUUGUAAACCAUGAAAGUGCUAUAUAAAGAUAUCUUUAAAAUACCAAAGAAGUCCCUGUAAUUAGAUAUUCUAAUGCUAGCUACUGUAACAAAUAAACCUCAGUAUGACAGCGGCUUAACCCUGUAGAAGUUUACUUCUUGUUUGCAAAUAAAUCCCGUGCACUU
rnacentral:antisense_RNA from 1 species